UUCAAACCCCACACCUUUUGGUUGUAAGUGACUUAGGGCGCGUGCUUUUACCACUGGGGUGGUUAUACAUCCGUUCAUUAUAAUAUAAGGAAUUAUAUAUAUUAUAAAAAACGCGUUUGAUUUGACUUUUCCAUGCCAUGUCAACAUCUUCUUCAACCUAUAGCUUCUUAUUUUCAUAUUUUUUUCUUUCAUUAUUUUUUAAAUCUUCCAUCAAUCAUAUCUCUCUCAUUUCU
rnacentral:lncRNA from 1 species